rnacentral:rRNA from 1 species
AACGAACGCUGGCGGCAUGCCUAACACAUGCAAGUCGAACGAGAUCUUCGGGUCUAGUGGCGCACGGGUGCGUAACGCGUGGGAAUCUGCCCUUUGGUUCGGAAUAACAGUUGGAAACGACUGCUAAUACCGGAUGAUGACGAAAGUCCAAAGAUUUAUCGCCAGUGGAUGAGCCCGCGUAGGAUUAGCUAGUAGGUGUGGUAAAGGCGCACCAAGGCGACGAUCCUUAGCUGGUCUGAGAGGAUGAUCAGCCACACUGGGACUGAGACACGGCCCAGACUCCUACGGGAGGCAGCAGUGGGGAAUAUUGGACAAUGGGCGAAAGCCUGAUCCAGCAAUGCCGCGUGAGUGAUGAAGGCCUUAGGGUUGUAAAGCUCUUUUACCCGGGAUGAUAAUGACAGUACCGGGAGAAUAAGCUCCGGCUAACUCCGUGCCAGCAGCCGCCGUAACAC